ensembl:misc_RNA 7SK 7SK RNA
GGAUGUGAGGGCGAUCUGGCUGCGACAUCUGUCACCCCAUUGAUCGCCAGGGUUGAUUUGGCUGAUCUGGCUGGCUAGGCAGGUGUCCCCUUCCUCCCUCACUGCUCCAUGUGCAUCCCUCCCGAAGCUGCACGCUCGGUCGAAGAGGAUGACCAUCCCCGAUAGAGGAGUACCGGUCUUCAGUCAAGGGUAUAUGAGUAGCUGCGCACCCCUGCUAGAACCUCCAGACAAGCUCUCAGAAAUGAACCUUUUAACAUGGAGCUCACCCAGUAGUGUACAUUUGGACACAGUUGGUAGUACCUUAGU